UGGGGAAUAUUGCACAAUGGGCGGAAGCCUGAUGCAGCGACGCCGCGUGGGGGAUGAAGGCCUUCGGGUUGUAAACUCCUUUCGACAGGGACGAAGCUUUUGUGACGGUACCUGUAUAAGAAGCACCGGCUAACUACGUGCCAGCAGCCGCGGUAAUACGUAGGGUGCGAGCGUUGUCCGGAAUUACUGGGCGUAAAGAGCUCGUAGGUGGUUUGUCGCGUCGUCUGUGAAAUUCCGGGGCUUAACUCCGGGCGUGCAGGCGAUACGGGCUGACUUGGGUGCUGUAGGGGAGACUGGAAUUCCUGGUGUAGCGGUGAAAUGCGCAGAUAUCAGGAGGAACACCGAUGGCGAAGGCAGGUCUCUGGGCAGUAACUGACGCUGAGGAGCGAAAGCAUGGGUAGCGAACAGGAUUAGAUACCCUGGUAGUCCAUGCCGUAAACGGUGGGCGCUAGGUGUAGGGGGCUUCCACGUCUUCUGUGCCGUAGCUAACGCAUUAAGCGCCCCGCCUGGGGAGUACGGCCGCAAGGCUA
rnacentral:rRNA from 1 species